rnacentral:rRNA from 1 species
UACGAAGGGGGCUAGCGUUGCUCGGAAUUACUGGGCGUAAAGCGCACGUAGGCGGAUUGUUAAGUCGGGGGUGAAAUCCUGGAGCUCAACUCCAGAACUGCCUUCGAUACUGGCGAUCUCGAGUCCGGGAGAGGUGAGUGGAACUGCGAGUGUAGAGGUGAAAUUCGUAGAUAUUCGCAAGAACACCAGUGGCGAAGGCGGCUCACUGGCCCCGGUACUGACGCUGAGGUGCGAAAAGCGUGGGGGAGCAAACAGG